rnacentral:rRNA from 1 species
GUCACACUGCCAAGAAAAGCUUCUAGUGAGAAAGUAACUGCCCGUACCGCAAACCGACACAGGUAGUUGAGGAGAGAAUCCUAAGGUGUGCGAGAGAACUCUCGUUAAGGAACUCGGCAAAAUGACCCCGUAACUUCGGGAGAAGGGGUGCUGACCGCAAGGUCAGCCGCAGUGAAUAGGCCCAAGCGACUGUUUAUCAAAAACACAGGUCUCUGCAAAAUCGAAAGAUGACGUAUAGGGGCUGACGCCUGCCCGGUGCUGGAAGGUUAAGAGGAGAGGUUAGCGCAAGCGAAGCUUUGAAUUGAAGCCCCAGUAAACGGCGGCCGUAACAAUAACGGUCCUAAGGUAGCGAAAUUCCUUGUCGGGUAAGUUCCGACCCGCACGAAAGGCGUAACGAUUUGGGCACUGUCUCAACGAGAGACUCGGUGAAAUUAUAGUACCAGUGAAGAUGCUGGUUACCCGCGACAGGACGGAAAGACCCCAUGGAGCUUUACUGCAGUUUGAUAUUGCGUGUUUGUAUCACAUGUACAGGAUAGGUAGGAGCCGAAGAUACCGGGACGCCAGUCUCGGAGGAGGCAACGGUGGGAUACUACCCUUGUGAUAUGACCACUCUAACCCGCUGCUCUUAGCGAGCAGGGAGACAGUGUCAGACGGGCAGUUUGACUGGGGCGGUCGCCUCCAAAAAUGUAACGGAGGCGCCCAAAGGUUCCCUCAGAAUGGUUGGAAAUCAUUCGUAGAGUGUAAAGGCAGAAGGGAGCUUGACUGCGAGACCUACAAGUCGAGCAGGGACGAAAGUCGGGCUUAGUGAUCCGGUGGUUCCGCAUGGAAGGGCCAUCGCUCAACGGAUAAAAGCUACCCUGGGGAUAACAGGCUUAUCUCCCCCAAGAGUUCACAUCGACGGGGAGGUUUGGCGCCUCGAUGUCGGCUCAUCGCAUCCUGGGGCUGUAGUCGGUCCCAAGGGUUGGGCUGUUCGCCCAUUAAAGCGGUACGCGAGCUGGGUUCAGAACGUCGUGAGACAGUUCGGUCCCUAUCCGUCGCGGGCGUUGGGAAUUUGAGAGGAGCUGUCCUUAGUACGAGAGGACCGGGAUGGACACACCGCUGGUGUACCAGUUGUUCUGCCAAGAGCAUCGCUGGGUAGCUAUGUGUGGACGGGAUAAACGCUGAAAGCAUCUAAGCGUGAAGCCCCCCUCAAGAUGAGAUUUCCCAUCACUUUAAGUGAGUAAGACCCCUGAGAGAUGAUCAGGUAGAUAGGUUGGGAGUGGAAGUACAGCGAUGUAUGGAGCGGACCAAUACUAAUCGGUCGAGGACUUAAUCAA